rnacentral:rRNA from 1 species
UGAACGCUGGCGGCAGGCCUAACACAUGCAAGUCGAGCGGUAGCACAGAGAGCUUGCUCUCGGGUGACGAGCGGCGGACGGGUGAGUAAUGUCUGGGAAACUGCCUGAUGGAGGGGGAUAACUACUGGAAACGGUAGCUAAUACCGCAUAAUGUCGCAAGACCAAAGUGGGGGACCUUCGGGCCUCAUGCCAUCAGAUGUGCCCAGAUGGGAUUAGCUAGUAGGUGGGGUAACGGCUCACCUAGGCGACGAUCCCUAGCUGGUCUGAGAGGAUGACCAGCCACACUGGAACUGAGACACGGUCCAGACUCCUACGGGAGGCAGCAGUGGGGAAUAUUGCACAAUGGGCGCAAGCCUGAUGCAGCCAUGCCGCGUGUGUGAAGAAGGCCUUCGGGUUGUAAAACACUUUCAGCGGGGAGGAAGGCGGUGAGGUUAAUAACCUCACCGAUUGACGUUACCCGCAGAAGAAGCACCGGCUAACUCCGUGCCAGCAGCCGCGGUAAUACGGAGGGUGCAAGCGUUAAUCGGAAUUACUGGGCGUAAAGCGCACGCAGGCGGUCUGUCAAGUCGGAUGUGAAAUCCCCGGGCUCAACCUGGGAACUGCAUUCGAAACUGGCAGGCUAGAGUCUUGUAGAGGGGGGUAGAAUUCCAGGUGUAGCGGUGAAAUGCGUAGAGAUCUGGAGGAAUACCGGUGGCGAAGGCGGCCCCCUGGACAAAGACUGACGCUCAGGUGCGAAAGCGUGGGGAGCAAACAGGAUUAGAUACCCUGGUAGUCCACGCCGUAAACGAUGUCGAUUUGGAGGUUGUGCCCUUGAGGCGUGGCUUCCGGAGCUAACGCGUUAAAUCGACCGCCUGGGGAGUACGGCCGCAAGGUUAAAACUCAAAUGAAUUGACGGGGGCCCGCACAAGCGGUGGAGCAUGUGGUUUAAUUCGAUGCAACGCGAAGAACCUUACCUGGUCUUGACAUCCACAGAACUUUCCAGAGAUGGAUUGGUGCCUUCGGGAACUGUGAGACAGGUGCUGCAUGGCUGUCGUCAGCUCGUGUUGUGAAAUGUUGGGUUAAGUCCCGCAACGAGCGCAACCCUUAUCCUUUGUUGCCAGCGGUCCGGCCGGGAACUCAAAGGAGACUGCCAGUGAUAAACUGGAGGAAGGUGGGGAUGACGUCAAGUCAUCAUGGCCCUUACGACCAGGGCUACACACGUGCUACAAUGGCAUAUACAAAGAGAAGCGACCUCGCGAGAGCAAGCGGACCUCAUAAAGUAUGUCGUAGUCCGGAUUGGAGUCUGCAACUCGACUCCAUGAAGUCGGAAUCGCUAGUAAUCGUAGAUCAGAAUGCUACGGUGAAUACGUUCCCGGGCCUUGUACACACCGCCCGUCACACCAUGGGAGUGGGUUGCAAAAGAAGUAGGUAGCUUAACCUUCGGGAGGGCGCUUACCACUUUGUGAUUCAUGACUGGG